UGUGGUUGCUACGGUAAGCUGAGGGUUUUAGGCUGCUUUUAUGUGGUUACUAUGGUGCUGUGAGUGUUUUAGGCUGUGGUUGCUAGGGUAAGCUAAGUGUUUUAGGCUGUUUUUAUGCGUUACUAGGGUCUUGUGAGUGUUUUAGGCUGUUGUUAUGCAGUUGUUAGGGUAUUCGGAGUGUUUUAGGCAACUGCUAUGUGGUUGCUAGGAUAUUCAGAGUGUUUUGGGCUGUUGUUAUGUGGUUUCUAGGGUGUUGUGAGUGUUUUAGGCUGUGGUUGCUAGGGUAAUCUGAGUGUUUUAGGCUGUUUUUAUGCGGUUAUUGGGGUGUUGUAGCUGGUUUCUAGGUGCAGGCUCAUGCUUCAGCAGACCUAUUGUAAGCACUCUGCUCAGAUCAGGCGGGAUGAAGGUUCUCCUCACCAUGUGGAUUCUAUAAACAGAAUUAUGCUUUUCCUGAAGACUCGUAUCCUGAGGAACGGCUCCAGAGGACCUUCAGCUCAAGGACGUCUGCACUUCCUCCUCUUCCUUCAGCGUUCUUAUCUUCCAUCCAGCUUCAGGCUUCCUGUUCCUUCAGCUCCUGUCCCUCUCACACACACACACACACACACACAUUAGAUCUGAUGGAGCGGUUCCAUGUGAGAAGGCCGUGAUGAAUGAUUCAUCCUGAGGGAAAGAGAGCGCUGACUCACCACAGCAUCUCAAAGCAGAAGCUAAAUGGAUUUUAGCAGUGCAUCCUUCAGUAUCUGGACCAGAACAUGAAGAGGACGUUUCCUGCUCUUUAGGGAAACACACACACAAACACACAGGCUUCUUCUGAGAAAGACCUUCUGUGACGUUCCCUACACAAACAGUAUUCAAAGCUAUCAAGGGUUCACCAAACGAAAGCCUUCUAAGACUGUUGGAUCCCACAGCUCUGUUCUGAGGAAAAACAAGACAAAUAGCAGCGCGUCUGUCGAACAGCUCCAGCCGUCGAGGAGGAAUGACAUCUAAUACCUGAGGGCACUUUCUUAUCUCCAACCUGUCAAAAACAGACACGGCCAUCAUUCAGAGAACGCAGCAGCCAAUGGCAAACACCUCUCCGUAUUUCCAUUUAUGGCGGUGAAUUUUGUAUUCAGAGCUGAGAAUGAUUCAUUCGGGUGUCUCAGAGCGGCUUAACCAGAAUAUUGACUGAAAGAAGCUCUUGAUUGUCUCCAGGACAGACGUGUCUCUUCAUGAAGAGGAGUCGCUGGCCGCGUGGCGCUCUGAUGUUAAUCUCAGAUGACACGCCGGCUGUAAUUAGUGCCUCUAAUUGGCAGAAUGUCGUCACCUGUGAAGGGAACAGAAACGAGGCCCGAAUCGAGAGGCUCCUCACAUCUCACCUGUGAUACGCUCUCAAAACAGAGAAUCAGCGCUGCUUUCUGAGUUUGACAGGAUUCUGCAGCUGUGUCAUCUGAUGUGUGAUUGAAUGCAGGAAAUAUGAGGCAAUCAUGUUCAUCAAGCCACAGUCAAGCAGGAAAUCAUUUCCAACCGACAUCAUCAUCCACCUGUUGGAGCCGGAGCUGCAGACCUUCAGAUCUGUUUUUUUCAGACUCUCCAUUAACCUGCGCCACAGUUCACGGCUGAGCCUUCUGCUUCUCUUUCUCAUGUAACUGACACUCAAACUGUCUUUUAUAAGAGACUUAAGCUUCUUUCCAUUAAAACUACAUGCCAAAUUAAACAGCCCUGCACAUCCCCCUGAU
ensembl:lncRNA